rnacentral:rRNA from 1 species
AUUGAACGCUGGCGGCAUGCCUUACACAUGCCAGUCGAACGGCAGCACGGGUGCUUGCACCUGGUGGCGAGUGGCGAACGGGUGAGUAAUACAUCGGAACAUGUCCUGUAGUGGGGGAUAGCCCGGCGAAAGCCGGAUUAAUACCGCAUACGAUCCACGGAUGAAAGCGGGGGACCUUCGGGCCUCGCGCUAUAGGGUUGGCCGAUGGCUGAUUAGCAAGUUGGUGGGGUAAAGGCCUACCAAGGCGACGAUCAGUAGCUGGUCUGAGAGGACGACCAGCCACACUGAGACUGAGACAAGGACCAGACUACUACGGGAGGCAGCAGUGGGGAAUUUUGGACAAUGGGAGAAAGCCUGAUCCAGCAAUGCCGCGUGUGUGAAGAAGGCCUUCGGGUUGUAAAGCACUUUUGUCCGGAAAGAAAUCCUUGACUCUAAUACAGUCGGGGGAUGACGGUACCGGAAGAAUAAGCACCGGCUAACUACGUG